UACGUAGGGACCAAGCGUUGUCCGGAAUUAUUGGGCGUAAAGCGCGUGUAGGCGGUUUGUUAAGUCCGAUGUGAAAUGUCGGGGCUCAACCCCGGAACUGCAUUGGAAACUGGCUGACUUGAGUCCGGAAGAGGAGACUGGAAUUCCUGGUGUAGCGGUGAAAUGCGCAGAUAUCAGGAAGAACACCCGUGGCGAAGGCGGGUCUCUGGGACGGUACUGACGCUGAGACGCGAAAGCGUGGGGAGCAAACAGG
rnacentral:rRNA from 1 species